rnacentral:rRNA from 1 species
GAUGAACGCUGGCGGCGUGCUUAAUACAUGCAAGUCGAACGGAACUUCCCUGUUUUUGUGUGCUUCUCGAGUGGCGAACGGGUGAGUAACACGUGAGUAACCUGCACUUGACUUUGGGAUACCUUCAGGAAACUGGGGCUACUACCGGAUAGGAGCUCCUGCCGCAUAGCGGUGGUUGGAACGUUUCGGCGGUGUGGGAUGUACGGUCGGUUUAUCAGCUUGUUGGUGGGGUAGUGGCUUACCAAGGGUUUGACGGGUAGCCGGCCUGAGAGGGUGACCGGGCACAAUGCGACUGAGGUACGGACCAGACGGCUACGGGAGGCAGCAGGGGGGAAUAUUGUGCAGUGGGGGGAAGCCUGAGACAGCAACGCCGGGUGCGGGAUGACGGCCUUCGGGUUGUAAAACGCUUUCGCCUGAGAUGAAGCGGUAGUGACGGUAAUGGGUAAAGAAGCACCGGCUAACUACGUG